GGCGGAGGAAUCAUCAUUUCUGGAGGCCGCAGUCGGCCAAAGAGAGUCAGACUCUUAUACAGUCCUAAGGGGAGUGGCUACCACCGAGACCCAUAGAUCCCUCUUCGUGAGACGACCUACCUCUCAUCGUUUCCGUGUCCUCUCUUCCAGAAGGCCCUUGGAAUCCGCAGUGAAGCCCCCCUCCUCCUGUCUUCCUAACGCGCAAGAGUGGGCCAAAGGCCUAACAGGAUGAAACAUUGGAGACAACUGGGAGAAGCCUCAGAGAUCAGAGAUAACCUCUCACCUCAAGAAUGCGGUCUUCUCCCUCCUCUACCAAAACCCCUCAAAACAGACAGUCUCAGCCUUCUACGGAUGCUGACAUUCAGUCCCUCUUGGAAGAGCAAUACUGGUGCUUGCAGAAGGGGAGAAGCACAGUUUGGGAGGGUGAGGAGGUGUGGCAGUGAUUGACAUGAGCAGAGGUGGGAUCCUGGGCAUCAGUGCUGAUUUUCAAGUGGACACUCUUGGCAACAGACUUACCGUCUUCCACACAAGGUCCUUUAUAUCCUUUGCAACACUGACUCCAGAAGGGUAAGAAAGAGUUCAGACUGGAUCUUUCCAUUUUCUCCCUCUCAAUUUUUAAUACGUCCAGGCUGUCACUUGCACCUGCCAAAGUCUGGCUCUCCUUCACCCACUCUUUCCAGCCUUCCAUCACCCCAAGGCUUGAUUUCCCUGUAAGUUUCAUUGCCUCUUACCCAGGUCUCCCAUCUGGAAGGUUAGAAAUCAGAUUCAUGGGACAUCUGGGCGGUUCAGUCGGUUAAGCGUCCGC